UAGUAUCAGCGUGUCAGCCGCCGCGGUAAUACGAAGGGGGCUAGCGUUGUUCGGAAUUACUGGGCGUAAAGCGCACGUAGGCGGGUAUUUAAGUCAGGGGUGAAAUCCCAGAGCUCAACUCUGGAACUGCCUUUGAUACUGGGUACCUAGAGUAUGGAAGAGGUAAGUGGAAUUCCGAGUGUAGAGGUGAAAUUCGUAGAUAUUCGGAGGAACACCAGUGGCGAAGGCGGCUUACUGGUCCAUUACUGACGCUGAGGUGCGAAAGCGUGGGGAGCGAACGGGAUUAGAUACCCUGGUAGUCCAUGCCGUAAACGAUGAGUGUUCGCCCUUGGUCUAUUCUGAUCUGGGGCUCAGCUAACGCGUUAAACACUCCGCCUGGGGAGUACGGUCGCAAGACCGAAACUCAAAAGGAAUU
rnacentral:rRNA from 1 species